CUGGUUGAUCCUGCCAGACCCGACUGCUAUCGGAUUGGGACUAAGCCAUGCGAGUCAACUCCGCAAGGGGUGGCGCACGGCUCAGUAACACGUAGUCAACCUACCCUGGGGACGGGGAUAACCUCGGGAAACUGAGGCUAAACCCCGAUGGGCCAUGGCUCCUGGAAUGGGCUAUGGCUGAAAUCUACAUGGCCCCAGGAUGGGACUGCGGCCGAUCAGGUUGUUGGUGGGGUAAUGGCCCACCAAGCCUAUAACCGGUGCGGGCUCUGAGAGGAGGAGCCCGGAGAUAGGCACUGAGACAAGGGCCCAGGUCCUAUGGGGCGCAGCAGGCGCGAAACCUCCGCAAUGGGCGAAAGCCCGACGGGGUCAGUCCGAGUGGUUCCCGCUGAGGGAACCUUUUGCCAGCUGUAAACAGGCUGGCGAAUAAGGGGUGGGCAAGUUUGGUGUCAGCCGCCGCGGUAAUACCAGCACCCCGAGUGGUCGGGACGAUUAUUGGGCCUAAAGCAUCCGUAGCCGGCCCAGUAAGUCCUCCGUUAAAUCCAACGGCUCAACCGUUGGGCUGCGGGGGAUACUGCUGGGCUAGGGGACAGGAGAGGCGAGGGGUAUUCCCGGGGUAGGGGUAAAAUCCACUGAUCCCGGGAGGACCACCAGUGGCGAAGGCGCCUCGCUAGAACGUGCCCGACGGUGAGGGAUGAAAGCUGGGGGAGCGAACCGGAUUAGAUACCCGGGUAGUCCCAGCCGUAAACGAUGUAGGCUCGGUGUUGGGCUGCCUCAGUGGCAGCCCAGUGCCGCAGGGAAGCCGUUAAGCCUACCGCCUGGGGAGUACGGCCGCAAGGCUGAAACUUAAAGGAAUUGGCGGGGGAGCACCAC
rnacentral:rRNA from 1 species